UAGGGAAUAUUGCAAAAUGGGCGAAAGCCCGAUGCAGCAACGCCGCGUGGGCGAUGAAGGCCUUCGGGUCGUAAAGCCCUUUUUGAGGGGAUGAGGAAGGACAGUACCCUCAGAAUAAGCCUCGGCUAACUACGUGCCAGCAGCCGCGGUAAAACGUAGGAGGCGAGCGUUAUCCGGAUUUACUGGGCGUAAAGCGCGUGCAGGCGGAUUGGAGAGUUGGAUGUGAAAGCUCCCGGCUUAACUGGGAGAGGUCGUUCAAUACUUCCAGUCUUGAGUGCAGUAGAGGGAAGUGGAAUUCCGGGUGUAGUGGUGAAAUACUUAGAUAUGUCAUAGAACACCGAUUGCGAAGGCAGCUAACGAAACUAUAACUGACGCUGAGGCACGAAAGUGCGGGGAUCAAACA
rnacentral:rRNA from 1 species